rnacentral:rRNA from 1 species
AACGAACGCUGGCGGCAUGCCUAACACAUGCAAGUCGAACGAGACCUUCGGGUCUAGUGGCGCACGGGUGCGUAACGCGUGGGAACCUGCCCUUAGGUUCGGAAUAACUCCCCGAAAGGGGUGCUAAUACCGGAUAAUGUCUUCGGACCAAAGAUUUAUCGCCUUUGGAUGUGCCCGCGUUGGAUUAGCUAGUUGGUAGGGUAAAAGCCUACCAAGGCGACGAUCCAUAGCUGGUCUGAGAGGAUGAUCAGCCACACUGGGACUGAGACACGGCCCAGACUCCUACGGGAGGCAGCAGUGGGGAAUAUUGGACAAUGGGCGAAAGCAUGAUCCAGCAAUGCCGCGUGAGUGAUGAAGGCCUUAGGGUUGUAAAGCUCUUUUACCCGGGAUGAUAAUGACAGUACCGGGAGAAUAAGCUCCGGCUAACUCCGUG